UUAGCAGCAGAACAGAACAGAGAGAAGACUCUGGAUCAGGAACACUGACUGGACCUGAACCACUGGGAACUGACUGGUUCUGGUUCCUCUCUCAGGCUGACUGAAGUCCAGGAGAUGGAGAACAGAGCAGAACCUCCAGGAUCCAUCAGUCCAUCUAUGAGGAGUGACUGGUCCAAAG